rnacentral:rRNA from 1 species
UACGUAGGGGGCAAGCGUUGUCCGGAUUUAUUGGGCGUAAAGAGCGUGUAGGCGGCCAGGUAGGUCAGCUGUGAAAACUCGGAGGCUCAACCUCGAGACGCCGGUUGAAACCAUCUGGCUAGAGUCCGGAAGAGGAGAGUGGAAUUCCUGGUGUAGCGGUGAAAUGCGCAGAUAUCAGGAAGAACACCCGUGGCUAAGGCGGCUCUCUAGUACGGUACUGACGCUGAGACACGAAAGCGUGGGGAGCGAACAGG